rnacentral:rRNA from 1 species
UACGGGGGGGGCAAGCGUUGUUCGGAAUUACUGGGCGUAAAGAGCUCGUAGGCGGUUUGUCGCGUCUGCUGUGAAAACCCGAGGCUCAACCUCGGGCCUGCAGUGGGUACGGGCAGACUAGAGUGCGGUAGGGGAGAUUGGAAUUCCUGGUGUAGCGGUGGAAUGCGCAGAUAUCAGGAGGAACACCGAUGGCGAAGGCAGAUCUCUGGGCCGUAACUGACGCUGAGGAGCGAAAGCGUGGGGAGCGAACAGG